UUCAUUUCAAAUUAAAAUAUUGUUAUCCAUUAUUUCUUUGUGCCUUUCAUAUCUCUCCUCUCCCGCCGUUGAAGCCCUCAAAUUUGUUGGAAUCCCCGCGUUUCAUAAUCACAUUCAGGUGCAGAAAAAUCCACAACAAAAUUUUCUCCAUGAAAACUAAACCUCCCAUCAAAUGAAGCUAAAAAAUGCAGUCAUCACAAGACUGCGAUAAAAACAGUUUUGCGAAGACCACUUGUAGCAUGUGCUUCGAAGAUUCAAGCCCAUCACAGAGGAUCUCCUAUGCAUCUCAACAUGCGGCUAUGUCUUUCACGACCUCUGAUGAUGUGAAGAAGGGUAGAAAUGGUUCAUUUUGUCUCAGAAAUUUCUGAGUCUCAUUCCUUGCUGGGAUUCCAACAAUUUUCAGCUAGAAAAAACAUGCACAGCCUACACCAAUGGUUUGAGUAUUGCCCUAUUGGGAAGAAGAACAGUUGCCCUAUAUGCAAGCAACACUGUAGCCAGUAGAAUGUUACCAGGCUUUUCUUUCAGUCAAUAUCUGAAUGCACGCAUCCUGAUGCUUCAAAAAAAUCAU